CUGUUUGUCUGUUUGUCUGUUUGUCUGUUCGUCUGUGCGCGCUAAUCUCAGUAACGGCUGAUCCGAGUUGGAUGCGGUUUUCACGAAUAUAUUGUGGGAUGCUUAAAUUUACAUUUAGUGUUUGUUUCAUGUCAAUCGGUUUAUAAAUAAAAAAGUUAUGUCAAAUUAAAGAAUCACGUCGAACAUUCUAUGCUUAUACCAUUAAUCUCCGCAACUAUUUGACGGAUUUGGUUGAAAUUUGGUACAGAUAUAGUUUAGAACCUUAGAAAGGACAUAGAUAUAUUUUUAUUUCAAAAAUCAAAAAAUAAAAAUAAGAAAUAAAUUAUUUAUAAAUAAUUCUAUGUCGAUCGUUACACGACUUCGGUUCAUGUUAUUGUUUUAAUUCAUCGAAAAAAAGUAAAUAAAUAGUAAAAAGGUAUGAAAAAAAUAAUAUCAAUAUAAUAAAACAUUUAGUACAAAGAAAAUGCUCUAACGGAGUAUAGAUAAUUCUAUGUCGAUCGUUACACGACUUCGGUUCAUGUUAUUGUUUUAAUUCAUCGAAAAAAAGUAAAUAAAUAGUAAAAAGGUAUGAAAAAAAUAAUAUCAAUAUAAUUAAACUUUUAGUACAAAGAAAAUGCCCGAACGGAGUAUAAAUAAAUAAUCCAAGUUGUCUUUAUCCUCGAUAGAUGGCGUUGGGAUCGAAAUAGAUCGCGCUAUGGUUUCGUUACAUUCAUUUGGUUGGGUAUCGGCCGAGCGCUUCGGUACUAUCGUAGAAAAAGUGUAUUAUCAGUCGUAUGAUUAUUUGUCUGUAGUGGUCCUGCUGUUUCGUAUAUUCUAAAUUGGUUUCGUUGUAUUUGUCAAUUAAUAAGUUUAUUUGUUGGGUUUUCCUGGUUUUUUGGUUAAACUAUUUAACGUAGGUUUAGUUUGAUAUCGAUUAUUAGUAGUUACUGUAGUUAGUUUUUUUAAUAAAAUUGUAAGUCUAAUUUAUAAAUUAAUUAGAUUAGAUUUAAGUCGUUUCUUUUAAAUUAUUUAGUUUAAGCUUGGUUAUUAUAGCAUAGAGGAUAGGUUGUAAUAUAGUUUCUUUUUUAAUUGUUAUAAAUUCGUAAUUCGUAGCUUUCUUUAGUUUUAAGUUAGUUUAAGUCCGUUUUUAAACUAUUUUUUCAAUGCCCUAAGUGAGUAUACAUCUAUUAAAUUCAAACGCAGAGCUCAUUAUGUUGAUUUUUGAAGAGUUCCCUGGAAUAUCUUCCACAUCUCAUUUUUGAAGAGAUCCCGCGAGAUCGGGAACUAUGUGGUUA